rnacentral:rRNA from 1 species
AGCCCAAGAUUGAAAGCUGGCGUCUUCGGCGUCCGCAUUGUAAUCUCAAGAAGUGUUUUCCGUUUCGGACCAUGCCUAAGUCUCUUGGAAAAGAGCAUCAUAGAGGGUGAUAAUCCCGUACAUGGCAUGGAGCGCCCGAAGCUUUGUGAUACGCUUUCUAAGAGUCGAGUUGUUUGGGAAUGCAGCUCAAAAUGGGUGGUAAAUGCCAUCUAAGGCUAAAUAUUGGGGAGAGACCGAUAGCGAACAAGUACAGUGAUGGAAAGAUGAAAAGAACUUUGAAAAGAGAGUUAAACAGUACGUGAAAUUGCCAAAAGGGAAGGGUAGGAGGUCAGAGAUGCGUCGCAGGAUUCAGCCUUGCUUUUGCUUGGUGUUUUUCCUGCGUUGCAGGCCAACGUCGGUUUUGGGCACUGGAGAAGGGUAGGAGGAACGUGGCACCUCUCGGGGUGUGUUAUAGCCUCCUACUGGAUACAGCGACCGAGACCGAGGAACGCAGCGUACUCGUAAGAGCGGGCCUUUUGGCACCUUUACGCUUAGGGCGUUGGCAUAAUGGCCCUCUACCACCCGUCUUG